rnacentral:rRNA from 1 species
AUUGAACGCUGGCGGCAUGCCUUACACAUGCAAGUCGAACGGUAACGCGGGGCAACCUGGCGACGAGUGGCGAACGGGUGAGUAAUGUAUCGGAACGUGCCCAGUUGUGGGGGAUAACUGCACGAAAGAGCAGCUAAUACCGCAUACGACCUGAGGGUGAAAGCGGGGGAUCGCAAGACCUCGCGCAAUUGGAGCGGCCGAUAUCAGAUUAGGUAGUUGGUGGGGUAAAGGCCUACCAAGCCUACGAUCUGUAGCUGGUCUGAGAGGACGACCAGCCACACUGGGACUGAGACACGGCCCAGACUCCUACGGGAGGCAGCAGUGGGGAAUUUUGGACAAUGGGGGAAACCCUGAUUCAGCCAUGCCGCGUGCGGGAAGAAGGCCUUCGGGUUGUAAACCGCUUUUGUCAGGGAAGAAAUCCUUUGAACUAAUACUUCGGAGGGAUGACGGUACCUGAAGAAUAAGCACCGGCUAACUACGUGCCAGCAGCCGCCGUAA